UGAGGCUGCAAUGGGGAAAGGGAGAGGAUGAAGAGUAUCAGCCAUGCCCUCCAUUGUCUUUUCUGUUUUAUCUUUUCAGUCAUUCAAGAACAAAUAUUGCCUGACCACUGUAGUGAAUUUAAUAUAAAACUAAUCCCGACUCCCUGCCUUUUCUGUAUCUAGGCGUGGAAUCUCCCCCACCUCCAUGAAUCUGGGCUAGCCUGUGACUGGGCUUUGGUCAGCCGAAUAUGGCUGAUACGAUGGUGUGUCAAUUCCAAGCCUGCACCUCAAGAGGCCUUGGGUGCUUCUACUUACUCUCAUCUCCUCACCAGGCCCUGUGAACAGCCCGGGUUCGACUACUGGCUAAAGAAAAGUCACCUCAGCCCACAGCCAACCACCUGCCCAGCAGAAUCCAGAAGAGCUAUGCUACCAAACCCAGCCAAGAUCAGCAGUGUGUGUAGAUGACCUGCUUUCACAGGAGGGAUGCCAGGGAGACCAGAAGUACCACCCAGCUAAACCACAGACUUGUGAACUAAAGAAGAUUCAGACACCUCUGAAAAGCUCAACAAAUAGCCAAACUCUAAUUCUCAGUCCAGAUUCAGCCUGGAUACCCUGCUGCCCUUACAACAGUCUGUGAUAAGGAUACUGCAGCCAGAAGGGGGUAUUUUAGUUUAGCAGAUGUCAGGAAGCCUAAGGGAAAGCUAGUCAGCCUGCUGGGAGAGACACACAUGAGGAGUAUGGGUGCAGCUACACCCUACCAAUCUUUAAUAGGGCCACAAAGAUCCCAGUAAGUGUGGUGUGAUAGCAUUUCUUGUGCAAACCAGCAAGGGAGGCCAAUCUCCCCAUUUUGAAUUGAGUUGGAGCUGAAAUGAGACCGAGAGCCUCCAGAAUCAGAAGGAAGAUGCUGAGCUGCCCCAGACCCUUGAAUCAAGGCUCCAGCCCAGUUGAUCUAUAAUCUCUGAUGGCAGGGAAGCCCUCUUAGGGGAAUCCGAAUGACAUAUUAACUUCAGUUUAUAACCUGUCUCUACGCUUCUUUCAGAAUGCCAAGUUGCCUUAUCUAAUUCUAGCCCCUAGUUGCUACUGCUCAAUGUUGGAACCUCCAGUGAUAAAGUUCCUCGGUCGAUGCUAAGAGGAGAGCACUGUUAAGUGUGUAUGG